rnacentral:rRNA from 1 species
AUUGAACGCUGGCGGCAGGCCUAACACAUGCAAGUCGAGCGGAUGACGGGAGCUUGCUCCUGGAUUCAGCGGCGGACGGGUGAGUAAUGCCUAGGAAUCUGCCUGGUAGUGGGGGACAACGUUUCGAAAGGAACGCUAAUACCGCAUACGCCCUACGGGAGAAAGCAGGGGACCUUCGGGCCUUGCGCUAUCAGAUGAGCCUAGGUCGGAUUAGCUUGUUGGUGAGGUAAUGGCUCACCAAGGCGACGAUCCGUAACUGGUCUGAGAGGAUGAUCAGACACACGGGAACUGAGACACGUUCCAGACUCCUACGGUAGGAAGCAGUGGGGAAUAUUGGACAAUGGGGGAGAGCCUGAUCCAGCAAUGCCGCGUGUGUGAAGAAGGUCUUCGGAUUGUAAAGCACUUUAAGUUGGGAGGAAGGGUUGUAGAUUAAUACUCUGCAAUUUUGACGUUACCGACAGAAUAAGCACCGGCUAACUCUGUGCCAGCCGCCGCGGUAACAC